rnacentral:rRNA from 1 species
GAUGAACGCUGGCGGCGUGCCUAAUACAUGCAAGUCGAGCGAACAGACGAGGAGCUUGCUCCUCUGACGUUAGCGGCGGACGGGUGAGUAACACGUGGAUAACCUACCUAUAAGACUGGGAUAACUUCGGGAAACCGGAGCUAAUCCCGGAUAAUAUAUUGAACCGCAUGGUUCAUUAGUGAAAGACGGUUUUGCUGUCACUUAUAGAUGGAUCCGCGCCGCAUUAGCUAGUUGGUAAGGUAACGGCUUACCAAGGCGACGAUGCGUAGCCGACCUGAGGGGGUGAUCGGCCACACUGGAACUGAGACACGGUCCAGGGGCCUACGGUAGGCAGCAGUAGGGAAUCUUCCGCAACGGGCGAAAGCCUGACGGAGCAACGCGGCGUGAGUGAUGAAGGUCUUCGGAUCGUAAAACUCUGUUAUUAGGGAAGAACAAAUGUGGAAGUAACUAUGCACGUCUUGACGGUACCUAAUCAGAAAGCCACGGCUAACUACGUG